CGCGGCCUAUCAGCUUGUUGGUGGGGUGAUGGUCUACCAAGGCGACGACGGGUAGCCGGCCUGAGAGGGUGUCCGGCCACACUGGGACUGAGAUACGGCCCAGACUCCUACGGGAGGCAGCAGUGGGGAAUAUUGCACAAUGGGCGCAAGCCUGAUGCAGCGACGCCGCGUGGGGGAUGACGGCCUUCGGGUUGUAAACCUCUUUCAGCCAUGACGAAGCCUUUCGGGGUGACGGUAGUGGCAGAAGAAGCACCGGCCAACUACGUGCCAGCAGCCGCGGUAAUACGUAGGGUGCGAGCGUUGUCCGGAAUUACUGGGCGUAAAGAGCUCGUAGGUGGUUUGUCGCGUUGUUCGUGAAAACUCACAGCUUAACUGUGGGCGUGCGGGCGAUACGGGCAGACUGGAGUACUGCAGGGGAGACUGGAAUUCCUGGUGUAGCGGUGGAAUGCGCAGAUAUCAGGAGGAACACCGGUGGCGAAGGCGGGUCUCUGGGCAGUAACUGACGCUGAGGAGCGAAAGCGUGGGGAGCGAACAGGAUUAGAUACCCUGGUAGUCCACGCCGUAAACGGUGGGUACUAGGUGUGGGUUUCCUUCCUUGGGAUCCGUGCCGUAGCUAACGCAUUAAGUACCCCGCCUGGGGAGUACGG
rnacentral:rRNA from 1 species